rnacentral:rRNA from 1 species
GACAGAGGGUGCAAACGUUGUUCGGAAUUACUGGGCGUAAAGCGCGUGUAGGCGGCCCUGCAAGUCGGGUGUGAAAUCCCACGGCUCAACCGUGGAAGUGCACUCGAAACUGCAGGGCUAGAGUCCUGGAGAGGAAGGUGGAAUGCUUGGUGUAGAGGUGAAAUUCGUAGAUAUCAAGCGGAACACCGGUGGCGAAGGCGGCUCACUGGCCCGGUACUGACGCUGAGGUGCGAAAGCGUGGGGAGCAAACAGG